rnacentral:miRNA from 1 species
GGCUUCCUCAACCUCAGCCCUCCAGAUGUUUUUGGCCUACAACUCUGAUGAUCCCUAGCUAGCAGGAUCAUUGGUCAAGGAUGCUGGGAAUUGUAAUCUCAAAACAUCUGAAGGGUCAAGGUUGAGGAAGCC